rnacentral:rRNA from 1 species
CAAUUCAACAUAGUCUGAUUAGUUUAUAAUUUUAUGGGAUUGUUAGUUUGAGUAGAUUAAAGAAAUCAAUUUAUUGUCUUUGUAUUUGUUAAAAAUAAGAUUAGUUAGGAUUUAGUGUAUAGUACUGUAAAGGGUUUAAUUGAAAUAAUUUAAAGUUUAUAAAUGAAGUUAAAUUGAUUUUUGUACCUUGUGUAUCAGGGUUAAUUAAUAGUAAUGUAUUUAAGUUGUUAUUCUCGAUUUUAUUAGAGUUAAUUAAUUAGUUUAGUUGAUGUGUCAUAAUCAUUAAUAAUAAUUAAUUGGAAGUGAAAUGUUAUUCGUUAAUAAAGGUAUCUAGUUUCUUUGGAAAUAAAUUUAAUUUAGAUUUUUUUAUAAUUAUUGGAUUUUAUUGAAUAUGGUUUGAGGAAAAAUUUAUAAUUAGAGGGAUAAGCUUUUAAUUAGGAAGUUAUAAGGGAUUUAAUGAAAAAAGAUUUAAUGGAUUUAAUAUUAAUUAUUUAUAUGAGUAUAUUGAAAUUUUAUUUUGUUAUUAAUUUAUUUAAUAAUUUCUUUAAGUAUUUACAGGGAUAAUAUAUUUAAUUGAGAUUUGUUUGGAAUAAUGAUUAAAUUAGUAAAUGAAUAAAUACUAUUGAAAAGGUUGGGUAAAUUGAGUUGUGAUUAUAAGGAAUUAGGCAAAAGAAUAAAAUAAGUUGUUCGCCUGUUUAACAAAAACAUCUUUUCUUGAUUUUUAUUUGAAAUAUGACCUGCCCACUGAUUAAAUUGAAGGGCCGCGGUAUUUUGACCGUGCAAAGGUAGCAUAAUCAUUAGUCUCUUAAUUAGAGGCUGGAAUGAAUGGUUUGACGAGAUAAUGGCUGUCUUAUAAUUAUUUUGGUUGAAUUUAAUUAUUAAGUUAAAAAGCUUAAAUUUGAUUUUGGGACGAGAAGACCCUAUAGAGUUUAUAUAAAUAUUUAUAUAGGAGGGUUGGAUUUAUAAUUGAUAUAUAAGUAGUUAUUUGGUUGGGGUGAUUAAAAGAUAAAAUGUAACUCUUUAUUUUGUAUUUAUAUCGAUUAGUAUAUUUUUGAUCCAUUUAUAAUGAUUAUAAGAUUAAAUUACCUUAGGGAUAACAGCGUAAUUCUUUUUGAGAGUUCUUAUCAACAAUAGGGAUUGCGACCUCGAUGUUGGAUUAAGAAAAUUUUUAGGUGUAGAAGCUUAAAUUGUAGGUCUGUUCGACCUUUAAAUUCUUACAUGAUCUGAGUUCAGACCGGCGUGAGCCAGGUUGGUUUCUAUCUAAUAUAAAGUUAUUAAUACUUUAGUACGAAAGGACCAGGUAUUAAAAAUAAUUUUUAUUAAUUUGAAUUAAUAUACUAUUUUGGCAGAUUAGUGCAAUGGAUUUAGAAUCUAUAAAUG